CCCUGUACUCUACUUGGCCAUCAGAGGCGCCGCAGCCGCGGAAGUGCCUGCAAACAAUAAAACGGGGGUGAGGAUCGUCGGUCUGCGCUCCGUGAGAGGACAAGGCUCAGCGUUUAUAAUAAGUACAUACACACAGCAACACUUUGGUCGCAGUCAGUGAGCCUACGGACCAUGGAAGUGGAGCGGGAGCUUAAAAAGGUCACUCUGGGCCACGAGAUUGGAGCUGGAGCACCAUGUCUUAAGUGCAAAGAUAAAUGUGAAGGCUUCGAGCUGCACUUCUGGAGAAAGAUCUGUCGCAACUGCAAAUGUGGCCUGGAGGACCAUGACGUGCAGAUGAGCUCCGAGGAGAGAAAGAAGGUGGGCAAGCUCUUCGAGGACACCAAAUACACCGGCCUCAUCGCCAAGCUGAAGAAAGAUGUACUGCCCUCUGCGCCGGGCAACACAGGCCCCCUCCCCACUGAUGCGGCAGUCAAGAAGGACGCCGCGCCGGUCCUGAAGGUGGCGACGUAUGAGUGGAUCCCGCCUGUGGCCAACCCAAGCCUGGCCGCACGCUACAUAGAGAUGCUGCCCAAGGAGAAGCAGCCAGUCACAGGCACCGAAGGCGCCAUGUACCGCAAGAAGCAGCUGGCCAAGCAGCUGCCCGAACACGACCAGGACCCGACCAAGUGCCACGAGCUGUCGCCGGGCGAGGUCAAGCAGAUGCAGCAGUAUGUGAAGAAGUACAAGGAGGAGGCGCUGGGCGUGGGUGACCUAACGCUGCCUGAGGACCUGAAGAGCCAGGUUCACGCUGCCGCAAGGGAGGCCCCUGGGGCUGGGAGCGGGGGUGGAGGAGUGCCAGGCAGGGCCACCACGGCUGCUGUGGGGACGGUGGGACCUACAGGAAGUCCUCAGGCUGCAGCCAAGGCUGGACAAGCCUAUUCGUGCCACCACUGCCAGCAGCCGAUGCGGCAGGGCGAGCCCGCCGUAUACGCCGAGCGGGCCGGCUACGACAAGCUGUGGCACCCGGCCUGCUUCGUGUGCAGCGUCUGCUCCGAGCUGCUCGUCGACAUGAUCUACUUCUGGAAGAAGAGCAAGAUGUACUGCGGGCGUCACUACGGUGACAGCGAGAAGCCGCGCUGCUCUGGCUGCGAUGAGCUGAUCUUCAGCCUGGAGUACACGCAGGCCGAGGGCCAGGACUGGCACCUGAAACACUUCUGCUGCUUCGACUGCGACUGCGUGCUGGCGGGGGAAACCUACGUCAUGGAGAAGGACAAGCCGGUGUGCAAGCCGUGCUACAUGAAGAACCACGCCGUGUGUUGCGCCGCCUGCCAGCAGCCGGUGGAGCCUGAGGCCCAGCGCGUCACCUACGGGGAGCACAACUGGCACGCCGAGCCCCAGUGCUUCCGCUGCUCCGGCUGCUCCUGCUGCCUGAUCGGCCAGCGCUUCAUGGCUGUACAGGGCCGCCUCUUCUGUUCAGUGGAGUGCAAGAAGAAGACCCCGGCCUAGGGGGUGCUCAACUGCAUUCAGACACAUAAAACACCUUCACCCAGCUAGGGGGCGCUCAACUGCAUUCAGACACAUAAAACACCUUCACCCAGCUAGGGGGCGCUCAACUGCAUUCAGACAUGUAAAACACCUUCACCCAGCUAGGGGGCGCUCAACUGCAUUCAGACACAUAAAACACCUUCACCCAGCUAGGGGGCGCUCAACUGUAUUCAAACAUGUAAAACACCUUCACACAACUGCAUUCAGACAUGUAAAACACCUUCACACAACUAGGGGGCACUCUUACACAUUCAGACAUGUAGUGCACCUUCACACAGCUAGGGGGCAGUCAUCUGUAUUCAGAUCCGUAAAACACCUUCCCCCAGCCUUUAUCGGUGUUCUUAAUGCUUCCAUUGUUGUUCACAGUCCUCUCUGAGGGUUGUGCGGGUCUGCCUUAUGUCUGACAUGUAUUUCUAGUGAUUGUACAGGUGAUUUUUUUUUUUCUUUAAGACCUACAACAUGAACUUGAGAUUAAGCCAAAGCAAGCAGUUUCCUUUCACUGUAUUAAUGAUAUGCUUACUAGUAGCAUUCAAAGUGACUACUGACCCUUGAGGGGGGGGGGAGUGCUCUAACAUCAGGUGAACAGAGGUCACGGUCGGAGGACAUCUGAUGCCAAGUCAGGGAUUCUUCUUUCUUACACCAAGUAUUUGGAGUAAAAUGUGGUGCUCAUACCUGCUUAGAAAUACAAAGCAAUAGGUUUCUUACAGCAUUGUUGUAUUUUCAUCGUGCUACUCAGCUGCACUUUAUUAAACGCCUUUCAUACACGCUAAUAAAGUAUCCUUGGUCAAGA